rnacentral:tRNA from 1 species
GGCGGGGGCGAAGGAGGUCGCAGAGGCCGUCGAGAUGAUGGAGGCGAUGGAGGUUGAUUCUGAGAGACCCGGCUCGUCGGGCUCAUAACCCGGAGGUCGCAGGUUCGAAUCCUGCCCCCGCUACCA